rnacentral:rRNA from 1 species
GACGAACGCUGGCGGCGUGCUUAACACAUGCAAGUCGAACGGACAGGCCCUGCUUUUGUGGGGUGCUCGAGUGGCGAACGGGGGAGUAACACGCGUGUAACCUGCCCUUGUCUUUGGGAUAAAUUCAGGAGACUGGGGCUAUAACCGGAUAGGAGCUACUGCUGCAUGGUGGGGGUUGGAAAGAUUCGGCGGUUGUGGAUGGUCUCGCGGCUUAUCAGCUUGAUGGUGGGGUAGGUGCUUACAAGGGCUAUGACGGGUAGCCGGCCUGAGAGGGUGACCGGCCACAUUGGGACUGAGAGACGCACCAGAAUGCAACGGGCGGCAGCAGGGGGGAAUAUUGCGCAGCGGGCGGAAGCGUGAGGUAGAAAUGCCGGGUGCGUGAUGCCGGCCUUCGGGUGGUAAACCGAUUUCGACUGUGACGUAGCGGAAGUGACGGUAAUGGGUAAAGAAGCACCGGCUAACUACGUG